rnacentral:rRNA from 1 species
UACGUAGGGGGCUAGCGUUGUCCGGAAUCAUUGGGCGUAAAGAGCGUGUAGGCGGUCCGGUAAGUCCGUUGUGAAAGUCAGGGGCUCAACCCUUGAAUGCCGGCGGAUACUGUCGGGCUAGAGUCCGGAAGAGGCAAGUGGAAUUCCCGGUGUAGCGGUGAAAUGCGUAGAUAUCGUAAGGAAGACCAGUGGCGAAGGCGAAUCUCUGGACAGUUACUGACACUGAGGCACGAAGGCCAGGGGAGCAAACGGG